rnacentral:lncRNA from 1 species
GUGGUCGAGUGGGCGUGUCCUGUCUCAGGAGGGGCGGGCCAGGCGCAACGCUCCUGCGCGGCCAGGGCUGUGGCGUUCCGGAGGGACUGGGUCUACUUGCGUCCCUCCUCUGACUGUCAGCCUCGCUUCUCGCAGCUGCAGGACGCGGGCUAGCUGAGGGUGGAGCGGUUCACUGGUUCCCCUGGGCGGAGGAUGCGGAAGGCGCCGAAACUAGGAGGGGACCGGCCCUCCGCAACCCACCCGGACCCGGAACUGGUGCGCCGGACGAGGCCCGGCCCCUACAGAGCGAGCGGAACCUGCAUGGGGAAGCCGGCUCUGCCGCCCCUGUUGCUGAACACCUGCUAUCAGGACCAGGCGGGCAGCUUUUAGGUACCAAAAGAUGACAAGUGAAUAAGCCAUAAGGAUCCCUGCCUGCACUUCAUAGCUACCAGAGUAGUUGUGGGAAAGACCCGGGUAAGAAGACUAGAACAUUUGGGUUCAAUAAAUGCUGUUUCAUAUACUUUUUUACAUUAUGUACAGAGAAUCAGCCCGUUUCCCUAAAUGAGUAUCUCUCUCGAAUCAUA